rnacentral:rRNA from 1 species
UACGUAGGGACCAAGCGUUGUUCGGAUUUACUGGGCGUAAAGGGCGCGUAGGCGGCAAAUUAAGUCAGCUGUGAAAUCUCCGAGCUUAACUCGGAACUGUCAGCUGAUACUGAUGUGCUAGAGUGCGGAAGGGGCAAUCGGAAUUCUUGGUGUAGCGGUGAAAUGCGUAGAUAUCAAGAGGAACACCUGAGGUGAAGACGGGUUGCUGGGCCGACACUGACGCUGAGGAGCGAAAGUGUGGGGAGCGAACAGG